AAGGGCCCAAGAAUAAGUUUGCAAGAGCUUUUGUAGAAAAGGAAAUAGUUAUACAGGAUAACUAGAAAAAGAAGUGGAAAUUAGAGGAAAAGAAAAAUGAGUUAUCAAAAGAAUGCCAAAAAAAAGGACAGAAAAUGGAUAAGAAGCAAAUCAUAGUAAAGUCUAUCUCUCUAAAAGGAAAGGAGUUGUCCAAAUACUGCCAAGAAAGAGGUGGGCAGAAAAUGGAGAAGAAGCAAACUGUAGUGAAGUCCGUCUUCUAAAGAGAGAGUUUGAGAGUAGUUAUAUUGGGUGAUGCUGAUCUUAUCGUCAAAGCUCUUGGUGAUUGAGAGGAGACCUUUAAUGUGGGUUCAGAAGG
rnacentral:lncRNA from 1 species